GAUGACAUCUGAGCCCAUAUGAAUGUGGGGAGGACCUACAAAAACCUGAACAAGUUCAAGGAAGCUGAGGAAGCCUACCUGGUUGCCAAAUCCCUCAUGCCACAGAAUGUUUCUCCUUCAUCAUCCUUUGAGGGACAUGACAACGAGAGGAAUCGGUAGCUGGGAGGUAACAGCAGCGAGUGGGAAGAAUAGUGUCUCAUUGUUCAUUGUGCCAGGCUUUUAGACAAAAUCCCUCUGUGUUAAGUUGUGUUUUCUAUUUGUUGUCAGCUGCAUUCACACUUUAAUUUUUUUUUUGUUGUUUACCUUUUAUUUAUCCAGGCAGUCAAGUUUGAACAAGGUAUUUUUUACAAUGAUGUCCUGGAACCUGGUUUAAUCUCUACACAUGACAGAUCAUUGAUCAACAGGACAACCUUAAAGGAGCACCUUUUUGAAAUAAACUCAAAUUUUAAAAAAUG